rnacentral:lncRNA from 1 species
UUUCUCUUCGGUGUUUUAAAAAAAAAAAAAGGAAGAGAGCUCUCCUCUCUGCUGGUGGACCGUGUGCUGAUGAGGGCUCCGGCCAGCAGUCUGACCGUCGCCCGCCGCCGCGCCGCCGCGCCGACCGCCGUGGCCGGCCACCGCACGCGAUGGCCAGAGUUUCAAAAAGGUAUAUUAUUUUACCUCUUUUUUUUGUAUUUUUUAUAUGUUUAUAAUAUAUGUGUAUUUUUGAGUAAAAUAGGUUAAAAAGAAAGAAAAUAACGAUGAUAACUAAAUGAAAUCACCUUGGGCUAUUAGAUGUUGAUUCUCUGUUUGGACUAUUUUUUUUGCUCUUGAUAUUACUGUGGUCUCUGCUCUUGCUAGUGCUUAAAAUCAAAAAUUGCUUUUUAUUUUUCACCAAAAAAUGUCCCCCUUUUUACAAUGGUUUUCGGCUUUAAAUAGCCAUUUCAUUUCCGUUUUUUUAAAUAUCUGUCUAUUCUUCCAUUGUUGCUGCAGACAAACGGUGGCGGAGCAGAGGCGGUAGUGGAUGGGACAGGGGCAAGUGGCUUGAACGGCUAGGGUUUUAGGUUUUCCCUUUUUUUUUUUUUUAAUGUAUUGGGCUAGGGUUUGGGUCCAAAAUUGGGCUUGUACAGGUACCUUAUUGAUUAAUUAAUGUCUUAAUGUUGAGAGUUGAAAAUAUUUUAAAAUACAAUCUCUUUUUAUUAAUGUUCAUUUUUAAAAAGGCUCGAAUUAAAAAGGCCCACUCGUCCCGAGAUAACAAAAUGCCACAUCCCGUAAGUUAGAUGCGACGUUUGAACCCUCGAGAACAAGUUUGCUUUUAAUUUUUAUCGAAAUUUUGUGUAUUUUAAAAUUUAAAAGGAUAUUUAGCUAUUUAGGUUUAACAAG